GGGGGGUCGCCCGGCCCUGGCCUGAGUGCCGGCCCCGCUCCCGGUGCGGGCAGCAGCUGCGCCUCACAGUCGGGCGCAGCGCCGGGGCUGUCCCGUUCGCUCGGGAGCGGCCUGGCACCCACCGCCGUGCUGCCCGCCGCGCCCGGCCUGGCGGCCCGCAUCUCCGAACCCUGUUAAGGGGUUCGGAGUCUUUCCGAAGAAAUCGUGGAAAUUAUGAUCAUGGCCAAAUGCUCCCUGCGCAAGAACUUGCAAACCAAAGCAGAUCCGCUCCUCUGCUACCCCGGGCCUCAGAGAAGUGCCGUUCGCGUCCCAGCGGAGCUGCUCCCGGCAGGAGAGAACACCCGCCGCCCGGUCCGACUUUCCGCCGAGGUCCGGAUUCGAUCUAAAAGAGAGGAGAGGCAAAGCCCAGCGCCUGGAGAUGGGUAGCCCCGCGGCGAACCUUGCUGCGGCCCCCGGAUGGCUCCGACCCCGCGCACAGCGGAUGGCCGUCUUCUCCCCUGCGCAUCCAUGGCCAGCAGCGUGGAGGGGCGGAGAAGGGUUGGAGCUGGGCCUCGGCAUGCCCGGGAAGCAGAGCGAGUUAUAGACUGCAUUGUAAGCAUUAUCGAUUUUAUUUAAUGCGUGAUCUACACGAUUUUAGAAAUGAUACCACUAAAUUGAGUGGGACAAUCAUAAAGUAAAUGUGUUGUGUUUUUGGUUUUUUUUUCCAAACAAAAAUAAUUAAACUAGCCCUUUCUGCAAACCGCAAGAGACUUGUUGAAUUGAUUCUGAGUUUCCCUUUCGCCGAUGGAGCAAAACGGCAUGCAUAAGUCUGCGGGGGCCCAUAUUUAAAUGAUAAAUUAUGCAAUUCAUCUUGGGAGCAAAAGGAUAAAUAAGGAUUCCGGUUGUUGCAAUAACUCGUUCUCUGAAGCUGGGUAAUCCUACCCACCAUCAGUCCGGAGGUAUCUCUUUCCCGUAGGGCAACAGAAAACCGUCUGCACACAUCGAAAAGCGGGGGCCGCUCCCAGUGCCCGCGCCGUGGGUAGUACUCAGCACCGAGGGCACGGCCCUUCGCACCUCGCUCUGCUCCCCUUGGGAGCGCGCACACACACCUGUACGCAGCAAAGACAUUAAAUAC
rnacentral:lncRNA from 1 species